GUCAUCAACAACAUUCUCAUUUUCAGCCAUUUAACAUUUUGGUUUGGUUGUUUGGUGAGAUUAUUUUAAUAUGUGUCAUUGUUGGUGUUAGGCACCUAUGUCAGAAGAGACUGAAGCUGCAGCUGGACAAAGCACUGAACAGACUGGAGAAAUUAUGGGAACUAAAGAGGAUGUUGAGGUCACCACUGAAACCACAGAAGCAAGUUCAUCUGAAGCUUUAUCAAAACCCCUGGCCACAGUCAGAACUCAGUCCCAGCCUGAGAGCAUGGUAAACACAGCCUCCACCACCGUUAAAGUCUCCAAAUCCGACCCCCAGCAGAAAUGCGUAGUCUCCUAGAUCUAGAACCUGUAUCGCUAGAACUCACUUUUUUCUGGAUCUAAGCUUUAUUUCCAGCUUUUUAUAGAACCAUGUGCACAAAGCCCCCAACCUAGAAGCAAUCCCAGAUUCCUUCUGAAACCAAUCAACUUCUUCUAGAACCUAACCUAGAAUCCUUGUUGUGUUCAGACCUGUCCUUCCUCCUAGAACACAACUGUUUACAUCCUAUCAUGGAUCUUCCAAAUUCUCCUAGAUCCAACCAAAGAACUAUCCCGAAUCAAGCCUGGAUUUCAAAGCUUCCUCUAGAAUCUUGUGGAGGACUCUUGAAACUCCCCGUUCUACUGGAACAAAAAAAUGCUGAGUUCUUCUUGAGGUCUAUGCUUUCCACAAGUCUAGAACUCAGUAGUCUAGAGACAGUACAAUCUAUACUAGAGCUCCAAGGAUCUUCUCGAUCUAACAAUAUAAUCCCCAACGUCUUCAAGAAUCGAGCCUAGAUUUCAAGGCUUCAUCUAGAAUCCUCUAGAAUAAGCCCUGGAACUACAAUACUUCUUGUAGAACACCUGGACUCCCAAAUUCUUUGAGACCAAAGUCUAAAACCCCUUCUUAUACCCUUGGAUCUAGAGCUUGAUUUAUUUUCUAGAACCAACGCUUUUUUUCCAACUCCUCGUAUAUUCUAGAUCAGCUUCUUGUAGUUCCAAUCCUGUCCUCUAUAAUCCUUGUAGAAGAUCUGGAACUUACUUUUGACUUUUUCUUGAACUGUUUCCUUUACAACCGAACUCUUCCUCGAGAACUCCUUUUCCUAGAACCGAGUCUAGAGCACCUGAAAUAUUCUAGCAUCAAACCUAGACCUUCAGGUCCCUCUUGAAAUGUCUGAACGCUCAGUGCAUUUACAUGGCAGAGAAUUCCAGAUGUUAGCUUCCAACAGUUUGGAGCUGUGGACGUUUUGUUUACAUUGGAGAUUUUAUUCAGUGUUUCUUACUGCAUCAUUAAUAAACAAAAGAAGUAGAAGUCAGGGUGUUUAAAUCAAAUCAGAUGUGUGCCAAAGAUGUACUUUUUCCAAAAAUGACUUGUGUGUUUACAUGAAGGACUACUGAACUCGCCCGUCCUGUAAAAUUCUGCCUAUUCAUUGACAAAAAGUCACCACUGAGAUGUGGUUUAAGAUGACACAGCACAUUAUUGAGAAUUAUGAGAUUAUGAGAGGAUGGUGACGGCUACUAUUUUACCAAAAACAGACUGAUGAUAUUUAGCAUGCUGGGUGGAUGGUUUUUGGUCUGUUAUAAGCUUCUGCAUGGACCUUAAUUCUGAUGGGUUAAUAUGUUUUUAUAAAAAGCAGAAACAAAGUGUACUAAUAGACAUAUUUUGUGAACCAUGUUUUAUAAUGUAUUAUAUAGGGAAUGGUGGUUUAAAAUAGCUAUAAACUUUUUGAUUGUUGACCUUUCAUUUGACUCUCUGGGCUCAUUUACCAGCCAACGCAGAAAUGCACAUUUGUUAAAAAAUAAACUUGCUUGCUUCCAUGCAUCUGCCAUUUGAAUUUCCAUAAGCUGAACAUGAUCAUAAAUGGUUGUUUACAGAGUUGAUGGAGUAAACUGGGUAAUUAUUACUUCAAUGAUGAAUUGCUCAGGCAGCAGGAGAGUGUGGUGAAAGAUUCCCGCUUUGUUAUGAAUCAGGAUAUUUACUAUUUUGUACUUAAGAAAGUUUUCUAAGAUGAUUGUUGGCCAUGAAAAUGCACUGGUUUGACAUGAUUACUGAUUAACACAAUACUGUUUGCAGGUGAAAACCACAUAACUCCAAAUUUAAUUUCAAUGUAGCAUUUCGAGGGAUUGUUCACUUAUAAUCAAAAAGAUUCUUUAAGGCUCAUUUUCCAAUAAUAUCACUCUCAAAAGAGAAAACCAAAACACCCAAUAAGCUGGCAUUUUUGGAGAUACAAGGUUUUCACCUGGCAGCAGUGGUACUGAGAUGUCUUACAUUACGUGGCAUGUGCCGUACUUGUACAUUGUUCUGCUUUUGUCUUUCCAUUCUGUCUACAUAUCCAAACAGGAGCACAAAUACAAAUAAACCCACAACAGUGAUCUA